rnacentral:rRNA from 1 species
UACGUAGGGUGCAAGCGUUGUCCGGAUUUAUUGGGCGUAAAGAGCUCGUAGGCGGCUUGUCGCGUCGUUCGUGAAAACCCGGGGCUCAACUCCGGGCUUGCGGGCGAUACGGGCAGGCUAGAGUUCGGUAGGGGAGACUGGAAUUCCUGGUGUAGCGGUGAAAUGCGCAGAUAUCAGGAGGAACACCGGUGGCGAAGGCGGGUCUCUGGGCCGAUACUGACGCUGAGGAGCGAAAGCGUGGGGAGCGAACAGG